CCUACGGGCGGCAGCAGUGGGGAAUAUUGCACAAUGGGGGAAACCCUGAUGCAGCGACGCCGCGUGGGUGACGAAGUAUUUCGGUAUGUAAAGCCCUAUCAGCAGGGAAGAAGAUGACAGUACCUGACCAAGAAGCCCCGGCUAACUACGUGCCAGCAGCCGCGGUAAUACGUAGGGGGCAAGCGUUAUCCGGAUUUACUGGGUGUAAAGGGAGCGUAGGUGGCAUGGCAAGCCAGAAGUGAAAACCCGGGGCUUAACCCCGCGGAUUGCUUUUGGAACUGUCAGGCUGGAGUGCAGGAGGGGCAGGCGGAAUUCCUGGUGUAGCGGUGAAAUGCGUAGAUAUCAGGAGGAACACCGGUGGCGAAGGCGGCCUGCUGGACUGUAACUGACACUGAGGCUCGAAAGCGUGGGGAGCAAACAGGAUUAGAUACCCUUGUAGUC
rnacentral:rRNA from 1 species